GCUGACUCGCUAGCCCAACACACACCAAAUACAACAACUCAUACUAAAUAACCCCAAACACACCACCCUUAUAACAAACAAAUCAUUUUUCCCCCUCAGUAUAGGCGAUAGAAAAGGAAACACGGAGCAAUAGAAAAAGUACCGCAGGGGAAUGCUGAAAUAAAAAUGAAAUAAACCAGUGAAGCCACAAAAAGCAGAGAUUUUAACUCGUACCUUUUGCAUCAUGAUUUAGCCAGUGAAACCCAAGCAAAGCGUUCUUUAGUUUGACAACCCGAAACCAAGUGAGCUACUCCAAGACAGCCUAACCAUAAAGGGCAAACCCGUCUCUGUGGCAAAAGAGUGGGAAGAGCUUCGAGUAGAGGUGAUAGACCUACCGAACUUGGUUAUAGCUGGUUGCCUGGAAACUGGAUAGAAGUUCAGCCUCCCGGCUUCUCCUUUCACUCCUACUAAACAGAUUUACCAAAAGAAACCGAGAGAGUUAGUCAAAGGAGGUACAGCUCCUUUGAAACAAGAUACAACUUUACCAGGAGGAUAAAGAUCAUAAUAGAUAAAAGGCAAAGUGAUUCCGGUGGGCCUAAAAGCAGCCAUCCUAACAGAAAGCGUUAAAGCUCAGACAUACUGCCCUCUCCUAAAGUUCGGAUUACCAAAUCUUAUUCCCCUAAUCCUACCAAGCCGUUCUAUGCAAACAUAGAAGUGACCAUGCUAGAAUGAGUAAUAAGAGAGGUUCGCCUCUCUCCUUGCAUACGUGUAAAUCGGAACCGGACAUUCCACCGAACCUUAACGGCCCCAAAAUUAGAGGGAACUAGGUAAUUAAGAUAAAAAACAAGAAAAACACCCAACCAAAAACCGUUAACCCCACACAGGUGUGCUCCCUAGGAAAGACUAAAAGAAAAAGAAGGAACUCGGCAAACACAAUGGCCUCGCCUGUUUACCAAAAACAUCGCCUCUUGAAAACCACGUAUAAGAGGUCCCGCCUGCCCUGUGACUAAUUGUUUAACGGCCGCGGUAUCCUGACCGUGCGAAGGUAGCGCAAUCACUUGUCUUUUAAAUGGAGACCUGUAUGAAUGGCAUAACGAGGGCUUAACUGUCUCCUUUUUCAAGUCAAUGAAAUUGAUCUCCCCGUGCAGAAGCGGGGAUAUACACAUAAGACGAGAAGACCCUAUGGAGCUUUAGACACCAAAGCAGCUCACACCCCCUACCCCUAUAACAACAGGCGGUAAACCUAAGCGAGUCCUGCCCUACUGUCUUUGGUUGGGGCGACCAUGGGGAAAUAAAAAACCCCCACACGGAACGGGAGCACACGCUCCCGAAACCAAGAGCCACAGCUCUAAUUAACAGAACUUCUGACCACCAAGAUCCGGCAUUGCCGAUCAAUGAACCGAGUUACCCUAGGGAUAACAGCGCAAUCUCCUUUUAGAGUCCAUAUCGACAAGGGGGUUUACGACCUCGAUGUUGGAUCAGGACAUCCUAAUGGUGCAGCCGCUAUUAAGGGUUCGUUUGUUCACGAUUAAAGUCCUACGUGAUCUGAGUUCAGACCGGAGUAAUCCAGGUCGGUUUCUAUCUAUGAUGCGACCUUUUCUAGUACGAAAGGACCGAGAAGGAGGGGCCCCUGCCUAAGUAAGCCUCCCCCUUACCUAACGUAGUCAACUAAAAUAGGCAAGAGGGCGUGCCCCCUCUUGCCUAAGAAAAUGGCAU
rnacentral:rRNA from 1 species